GCACUGGCAAAAUCCAGUGUCAGGAUUGGAACCCUGUCUCACAACACGUGGCGCAUAGACGUCAGCAUCACUGCUGCUGUCAU
rnacentral:sRNA from 2 species